rnacentral:rRNA from 1 species
UCUACUAUUUUUAAAAACAACUGGUUCUCGUCCGAACACCGAAGUUAAGCAAUGUCGGGCCCGGUCAGUACUUGGGAGGGUGACCACCUGGGAACACCGGGUGCUGUAGGCU